AUUGAACGCUGGCGGCAUGCCUUACACAUGCAAGUCGAACGGCAGCACGGGUGCUUGCACCUGGUGGCGAGUGGCGAACGGGUGAGUAAUACAUCGGAACGUACCUUAUCGUGGGGGAUAACGGAGCGAAAGUUACGCUAAUACCGCAUACGCUCGGAGGGGGAAAGCGGGGGUACGUAAGGGCUCGAGCGAUUAGAGGGGCCGAUGUCUGAUUAGCUUGUUGGUGAGGUAAAAGCUCACCAAGGCGAUGAUCAGUAGCCGGUCUGAGAGGACGAUCAGCCACACUGGGACUGAGACACGGCCCAGACUCCUACGGGAGGCAGCAGUGGGGAAUUUUGGACAAUGGGGGCAACCCUGAUCCAGCAAUGCCGCGUGAGUGAAGAAGGCCUUCGGGUUGUAAAGCUCUUUUGUCAGGGAAGAAACAGCAGCUCUAACACAGUCUGCGAAUGACGGUACCUGAAGAAUAAGCACCGGCUAACUACGUGCCAGCCGCCGCGGUAA
rnacentral:rRNA from 1 species